rnacentral:rRNA from 1 species
CACGUAGUUAGCCGUGGCUUCCUCCUCAGGUACCGUCAUUAUCGUCCCUGAAGACAGAGCUUUACAAUCCGAAGACCGUCAUCACUCACGCGGCGUUGCUGCAUCAGGGUUUCCCCCAUUGUGCAAUAUUCCCCACUGCUGCCUCCCGUAGGACGUCUGGGCCGUGUCUCAGUCCCAAUGUGGCCGAUCACCCUCUCAGGUCGGCUACGCAUCGUCGCCUUGGUGGGCCGUUACCUCACCAACUAGCUAAUGCGCCGCGGGUCCAUCCUAUAGCGAAUUGCUCCUUUAAUUGCUGUUUCCAUGCGGUAACUACAAUCUUAUGGGGUAUUAAUCCUUCCUUUCGAAAGGCUAUUCCCCACUAUAGGGCAGGUUACCCACGUGUUACUCACCCGUCCGCCGCUAAUCCACUUCCGAAGAAGCUUCAUCGCUCGACUUGCAUGUGUUAAGCACGCCGCCAGCGUCGUUCCUGUAGCCAGGAUCAAACUAC